rnacentral:lncRNA from 1 species
AUGUAGAUAUCUGAGAUCAAGAUAAUUCAAUGUUCUAUAUGCCACAAGUACGGAUACAAUUCACCUCCCAAUUCACUCAAUAUUUGAAAAAAGCAUUCAUGGUGUUCUCACUGCAUGUGGUACUAUCCAUCUGAACAUUAACCAAUUUUUGCCCGUAACUAUGCUCCCCUGCACCAGAAGGGAUCAAGCAGCACCCUUACCAGAAGCGAAUUGAAGUGGGGAGGACCCUCUAUCUUCAUCCACCUGGUUUGGAUCAUAAGAAAAUGACUGUAAUUCAUCACGUCUGCCUUUGCUUGCACUUGCACCCAGUUGGUUCAUUACACAAAUACUCCUUCCUCAGAUGCAGCACAAAUAUGGAGAACUGGAGACAGCUAAACUGCAAACACGACAAUCUCAACCACUUAAACACGACAUGAAUCUCAACCAUUGACAAGUUUAGCUGAUAUGAAUUGCUUGCUCUGUUAGGAUUCAUCUAGAAGCACGUAUGACAGGAAAAUGCAGCUGACCCUACCAGGACAAAAACACGCCAACUCCACAUGACCACUUAAUCCCCAGGGUGUCGUCUCAGCCGCGUCCGGCCUCCACGGCGGCGGAGGUGUGGAGGGCGGUCCUGUUCGGUGCCGCCACUGCAGCUGCGGCUGCCGGCAGCAACAGUGCCACGUAGGUGUACCCACUACCCAGCAGCCGCAGCUGUAGCGGCAGCGGCAAAAAAUCUACGGCGGCUCCGCCGGGGAGGACUGAGGACUGAGGAGGACUGGAGGAGGCGAGUGGGAUGCAUGUGGGCUAUAGAUGGCCAUCGGGCCGGGCCGUGCCGUGCCUGCCCCGGGCCGCGCCGUGCCGUCGUGCCGGCCGGGCCGUGCCACCACCGUGCCUCGUGCCGGGGGUAUGGCCCAAGGCACGGCCCGCGGGCCGUCGGGCCGGCCCGAAGGCACGGCGGGCCACCGGGCCG